CGCUAAUAACAAAUUAUUCGAUUCACUUGUACGAGUGGAUGGGAUGCGCACGCGCUCUUGACUGUUUGACAGAAGGAAGCGGAAGUGUGACGUCAGGAGUAGAGGUUGAUACUACAGCUACCGUAAAAUACCAAAUAAUAGCCCGGGCUAUUAUUUGUCUCAAUCACGUAAAAGACCCGGCGCGUAUUAGAGACUAGGCGGCUAUUUGGAACAGGCGAUUAAUUCCUUCUUCACAAACACCUUCCCCAAAAUCUACCUCAAAACGGGGAAAAAUCAUUCUCAGAUAGGCCUACUUUUAACCAGUAUAACUUACAGUUUGUUUAGAGUUAGAUUACAGAUAGCACGGUGCCGACUUCGGGGAAUUUUGAAGACGCAGAAUGCAUCUUCGCAUGGCACAGUCGGGACAAUGGUAGCAUCGCAGAUAUCCACUGGCACCUCUCAUUCACAGUUUAUGAAAGAAACCUGCUCAAACACAUGGCAAAGAAACUUCCAGAAAAAUCUUGUCACCUCCGAUGUCUACAGCUUGUUUCUUUCUUGCACAAAAAACAGUCAGGUCUAAGAGGGGGAAGUGCCCUUACAAAUUACCAUCUGAAGACUGCAUUCUUGCAUCUUCUGUUGAGUAAACCUCCUUCAGCAUGGAAACCACUGAAUCUGGACCAGAGGUUGCGGGACUUGUCUUUUCUACAGAAAAGCUUGCAGGAAAAGAGACUUACUCAUAUUAUCAUUGGGAACCCACUUGUUCCACUUGAAAUUGGAGUUCCACCAAUAUUUCAGGCUGCAGAACCAAUAAACCUUUUCAGGCCUUUGGUGUUACAGAGGCAAGUAUAUGCAAAGAUGGUGGAAGAUUUUGAAGAGAUGCUCAGAAAUGCCCCAGUGCUUAUUCAAGAGUACACGCCCCACUUCACUAAUGGUGGACUUAAUUCAACAACCGUGUCUUAGAAUGACUGACUGCACCAGUGGAACUUUGGGACUCAAUAGCUUGCUCAUCAGUUCUAAAGACUUUCAGACCAUAACUGCAUAAUGUUCUAUGUAAUUUUUUUUCUUUUAGCACUGAAAUUACUAAGAUUGUACAUUGAUAAAAAGCAUUGUGAUUCCAUGUAGGCAGCUAUUAUGUGCUAAUAUGCAUGGUUUAUAUUAUGCAAAUGCUUAUUUAAGUUUAGUGUUACUUUAAACAUUUUUUUUUUAAAAUAGAGACGUGUGCAGGUCUGAGCUCAGCCUUUUACAUCAACGCCAUGAUUCAAACUGACGUUGCAAAAUCUGUUCUUUUCCUGGGCAGUGCUCUAGACCACUUGGUUAUGGAAGAUUACAUCACAAAUGGAGGUUAUGUAAUGUGGUGCUUACAUAGUGAGUACGCAGUGGCACCACACUCACUGUGGAAAUCACUACCUGAAGCUGGCAUACCAAUUACAUUCUUAAACACACUCGAACUCGGUUAAACAUGCACAUACAGACAGGUGCCUCUAUAGGCUUCAGCCAAAGGCUGAGCCAAUUAAUCAUAUUACUGGGCCUCAGCAGUAUUAUAUAAAAUUGUUAUUUUUGUUUGUAAAGUGAUUUGAAUAGCAUCCUAUACACUUAAGACAGUUUACAAAGAUUCAGGUCUGACAUACCCCGUGAGCAUGGUAAAAUCAUUUUAGAGCAAUUGCUUUAGUGCAGUUGACAUUUUCACAAAGCAUCUUGAUACAACCAAUGGCAGAGUGGCACAGUGGGUAGUGUUGCUCAGUCAUAGCUCUAAAGCUUCUGGGUUGAUCUUUGAGUUCCUGUCUGUGUGGAGUUUCUGUGCAUGUUCAUGCCAGGAGGUGGACUGGCUACUUGCCCUUAGCUGUGAAUGUGUGUGUGCCUGGCACCCUGCAAUGGACUGGUGUCCCAUCCAUCCAUCCAUUAUCUAUUCCACUUAUCCAUCAGGGUUGCAAGGGAAGCUGGAGUCAAACCCAUGCCAAGAACAUGCAAACUCCACACAGAAAGGCAGCAGUCAGCUAUGAGGUUUAAACCCAGAACCUUAUUACUGUGAGGCAACAGUGCUAACCACUGCACUACCAUACUUCCCCCAGGGUGUAUUCCCUAUAAGCAUAUCCACUCUUCAGAUAAAAGACACCAGUUUUCCUCUGGGACACAAGCGGAAUUAAAAUCAUAGACAAAAUGUACAAACUUGGAAUUUAAAGGCACUUUAAUACCAUUUUAUGAUGAAGUCUGUGACAAUGCGUUAUACUUGUACAAAAGGUCUGUACUGAAAAACAGUAUUCAUUUUAGAGUUAGAAUUAUUUUAGUAUAGGCACAUGUUUAUAAGCCAUAGUCAAAAUUGGGGUUUCCCUCCAAGAAUGAGUCCAUAAAGGCUUUGUAGACAUCCGUGCUGAACAUGACUGCCUUCACUGGUGGAUCCUCUUUCAUGCACAAAAUCCAGUUGUUCAGCUCUGGAGUGCCAUCCAGACAGCUGAAAAAGAAUGAGAGCAUGUCUAUAUACAAAACGUUCUGAAACUAUAAACAAAAUCUCCAAAUGCAGAGAUAGCAUACAUGACCGUUAUUGCGCACUUAUUAAUUAAAAAAAAAAAAAAAAGCCUUAAAAUUCCCACCAUCAGGUGAAUACAACAUGAAUCUGCUUUGGUUCAAAUACACUUUUUUUUCUUUUAUUGUGCUCUUGUAUAAAUAAGAAAUCAUACUGUUUGAGCUGCCAGGCCUCCAACCUCUCAAACCACGGCCAGAUCAGGUAGUCAAUCAUAGUGACUGAAUCACCUCCAAAGAAUUUGGUUUUCUUGUUAACAAGAACCUGCAAAAGUAUAAAAUAAAAGUUAAAAUAAAUGCAGCUUUAUAUGCAAUGUUGAGACCUGAACCACAUCCAAAUAUCUGUAUAGUCAGUGUAAACAGUUUAAAGCCUCCAUUUAUUGUUUUGGAUUAAAACUGUAAUUCCACUCAAACAGGAUAGUGAUAUAUUUACCAUUUAAAUGUUGCAUUAUACCUUGUUCAGUUUGGAGAACUUUUCCUUCAACUCUUCUUCUAGUGCUGACACAUCCUCACCUUUUACUCUGGUCAUAGGAAUUUUGUAGAACAGAGGAAUGAUCUGAAAGUAAAGAUUCUGUUGUGAAUUUGGUAUUCCUGAAGGCUCCUUUAAAACCCCAAACACAAGAACUGGUACUGAAACAAAACAGACCUUGACAUCUUUUUGAAAUAAAAUUAUAUUCCACAUA